rnacentral:rRNA from 1 species
CCAGACUCCUACGGGAGGCAGCAGUGGGGAAUAUUGCACAAUGGGGGGAACCCUGAUGCAGCGACGCCGCGUGGGUGAAGGAGUACUUCGGUACGUAAAGCCCUAUCAGCAGGAAAGAAAAUGACGGUACCUGACUAAGAAGCCCCGGCUAACUACGUGCCAGCAGCCGCGGUAAUACGUAGGGGGCAAGCGUUAUCCGGAUUUACUGGGUGUAAAGGGAGCGUAGACGGCUGCGCAAGUCAGAAGUGAAAGCCCGGGGCUCAACCGCGGGACUGCUUUUGAAACUGUGUAGCUAGAGUGCAGGAGAGGUAAGUGGAAUUCCUAGUGUAGCGGUGAAAUGCGUAGAUAUUAGGAGGAACACCGGUGGCGAAGGCGGCUUACUGGACUGUAACUGACGUUGAGGCUCGAAAGCGUGGGGAGCAAACAGGAUUAGAUACCCGGGUAUA